UUAACCCAAAUUUGUAUGGAGUUGACAUCUCCCUUCGUUUACCGCUAGGGGGCGCUGUUCCAACUCCAUACAAAUUUGAGUUA
rfam:Bombyx mori DNA, contig: Bm_scaf10_contig8377, strain: p50T/Dazao, build 2, whole genome shotgun sequence.